ensembl:processed_transcript
AGAAGCCACCCUGACACCUAGACUCUGCGCAGUUCUCUGCAUUUAAAAGACAACGUGAAAUUCUAGGCAGCAUCGCCGGGUUCUAGGCGCGCGCCCGCUCAGCUCUGCGGCCGCUCGUGAUUUUAAAGGCUUGCAGCUACUGAAAACUGAUGAGGACUGCUGCAGUGACAAAGAGAACUCUUGUGCCCUGUGCCUUGUCUUCCCAAGUGUUUCCUCUAGCCAUCCUGCAUACCAUUUUACGCUUGACACCAAAUGAUUGUUAAAUGGUGGGCUUAACUCCCCAAGCCGCCUAGAACCAAGCAAAAAGAAGCUGGGUUACUAUAUACGUUAUAUGGUUGAGGAAAAAAACACUACAAGCCCUGCUUACCGAGGUUCUCACAACAUCUAGGACCACAUCUGCCCACUGGUUCUGACCCACAAAGGAUGCAGAAUCCAGCCAUUCCUCUGGGUCACCGCCUCUGCCCCAUUCAGGUUUCUGUUUCUUGAAUAAAUUAUUUCCAUCAGC